rnacentral:lncRNA from 1 species
CGGAACUUUCAGUUACUGUCCAAAAUAUUUUGAACAACUUUACACGUUUCAUUGAUUAAAAUUGGGACAUUAUGUACCACUAGUAUUUGCUCUCUUACCAUCCAAAUCAGAGGAAAUUUACACUGUUUUGCUCAACAUGAUAUCUUCGUUGUGUAUUGUUUAAACCAAGAAUCGUACAUAUUGAUUUUGAAAUCGCAAUGCACAAUGCAUUUAGAUCUGUAUUUCCAGAAUAGAACGCUGCCGUUUUCAUUUAGGCCAAAGUUGGUUGCACAAAAUUCAGAAACUA